UUAACGAAAUGAAACAAAAUUUCCCAAACACAUGCGCUAUUGCGCUAAAACAACAACAAUAAUGUUGUUACUGAUGAUAACCAGUGUUCAGCUGUAUUAUGGCAGUUCACAAUAUAUAAAAGAGAGAGAGAGUUAUCAUCAUUACAAAAACGGUGUCCCAUGUUGGCGUCUAAUCUUUAUUUGAGCUAUCGCCCGACCGUCGAUAGCAAUGAGAAUAGAGAGGAAGCUUUUCUCCACUACUAAAAUUUUAGUAAUGGAAAAAGUAGACUUAAUAAGCAUUCAAGCUUGUGAUGCUGCCAACAAAAAAAAAAAAAAAAAAAAAACACACACACACAUACACACACAUUAUUGUAUUUUGGUAAAAAUAUACUGAUAAAAAUAUCAGUUAUAAAGAGAU
rnacentral:misc_RNA from 1 species